GCCCAGACUCCUACGGGAGGCAGCAGUGGGGAAUAUUGCGCAAUGGGGGAAACCCUGACGCAGCAACGCCGCGUGAGUGAGGAAGUAUCUCGGUAUGUAAAGCUCUAUCAGCGGGGAAGAAAGAGGACGGUACCCGACUAAGAAGCCCCGGCUAACUACGUGCCAGCAGCCGCGGUAAUACGUAGGGGGCGAGCGUUAUCCGGAUUUACUGGGUGUAAGGGGAGCGUAGACGGCCAGACAAGUCUGAAGUGAAAAUCCAGCGCUUAACGUUGGAAGUGCUUUGGAAACUGCCGGGCUAGAGUGCAGGAGGGGCAGGCGGAAUUCCUAGUGUAGCGGUGAAAUGCGUAGAUAUUAGGAGGAACACCAGUGGCGAAGGCGGCCUGCUGGACUGCAACUGACGUUGAGGCUCGAAGGCGUGGGGAGCAAACAGGAUUAGAUACCCUCGUA
rnacentral:rRNA from 1 species